rnacentral:rRNA from 1 species
AUUGAACGCUGGCGGCAUGCCUUACACAUGCAAGUCGAACGGCAGCACGGGUGCUUGCCCCUGGUGGCGAGUGGCGAACGGGUGAGUAAUACAUCGGAACAUGUCCUGUAGUGGGGGAUAGCCCGGCGAAAGCCGGAUUAAUACCGCAUACGAUCUACGGAUGACAGCGGGGGACCUUCGGGCCUCGCGCUAUCGGGUUGGCCGAUGGCUGAUUAGCUAGUUGGUGGGGUAAAGGCCUACCAAGGCGACGAUCAGUAGCUGGUCUGAGAGGACGACCAGCCACACUGGGACUGAGACACGGCCCAGACUCCUACGGGAGGCAGCAGUGGGGAAUUUUGGACAAUGGGCGAAAGCCUGAUCCAGCAAUGCCGCGUGUGUGAAGAAGGCCUUCGGGUUGUAAAGCACUUUUGUCCGGAAAGAAAUCCUUGGCCCUAAUACGGUCGGGGGAUGACGGUACCGGAAGAAUAAGCACCGGCUAACUACGUG